rnacentral:ncRNA from 2 species
AUUUUAUACAGAAGGGAGUAGAGAAUAGGCUCAGCGAUCCCCUAGCAACCUAUCAGCUGCCAAGCUGAAAAGGUGCUAAUUCCUACCAAUAAAAAAAUUGGAACUAUAAAAU